CAAGAAUCAGUGGCACACAGACGCCUGAAAAUUCCUCUAGGCAAGAGGUUGGGUGAGGCUCCAGUGGUAGCUAAGGAGUGGGGGCUCUGUUGGAGGAGACUGCAGUGCUUCUCACACGGAGACAAGGGUGUGGGACUCCAUGUGGGCCCUGUGGCACAGCCAGCGUGGGGUUGUCUUGGAUCGCAACAAGAGGAGUCCUGGAGGGAUAACGUAUCCUGAAGAGGAGAGGAAAGACCCACCCCCAUAAUUCAAUUGUCUCACACUCGGCCGCUCCCACAACAC
rnacentral:lncRNA from 1 species